UUAUAAGAAUCUUCUAAUAAUAAAUUAUUAUUAUCUCUGUAAAGAUAUUUAUUACUUUUACAAAAGUAAAAUAUUAUACCUUUAGUAUCAGGGUUAAUCAAUAUGAUUGAUUUUUCCUCUUUCUUGAAAAGAAGAGAACUAAAAAUUUUUACAAAAUUAUGUUUCAUUAUAAUAAAAAUCAAUUUUUAGCAAUUAGACUUUUACCGAACUUCUUGAUAUCCAGUAUUUUUUUUACCAAAAAUUUGGGAAAAAUAAUGUAUAAAAUAUGUUAUAAAUUUAAAUUAUCUUACCUUUAUUACUAUUUUAAAAAUAAGAUUUUUUAAAAAACUUAAUAGUUAUAAUUAUUAAAUAAUCCGACUUUUAUUAAAAAAAAAUAAUUUUUAAUUAAUUAAUUAUGAUUAAAUAAGUAUAUUUAUAAUUGAAAUACAAGAACUUGGCUUAAUAAGAAAUGACUGUUUAUCAAAAACAUUUUUCUAAAAUUCCUUUAGAAUAAAGCCUGCUCAAUGAAAUUUUAAUAGCCGCAGAAAUUUAACUGUGCUAAGGUAGCAUAAUCAUUUGUCUUUUAAUUGAAGACUAGAAUGAAAGGCUAAACAUUUUCUUUUCUAUUUUUAUAUUCACCCAUUAUAAAAAUUAUAUUAAAUAUAAAAAUAUAUUUAUACAAAAAUUAGACGACAAGACCCUUUCAAACUUUACUUAAGUUUAGCUGGGGAAGCUAUAUAAUUAUAAUCUUAUUUUGAUAAAAAUAUCACGACCCAAUUUUAAUUGAUAAAAUGAUCAAGUUACUGAAGGGAUAACAGCAUAAUAAAUUUUUAUAGCUCUUAUAAAAAAAUUAGUUUAUGACCUCGAUGUUGAAUUAUUUUACUUUUAACCGCAAGAGGCUAAAAAGUAGGUCUGUUCGACCUUUAAUAUUUUACAUGAUUUGAGUUCAAAUCGGUGUAAACCAGAUUGGAUUCUAUCUAUUUAUAUAUUUUCUUUUAGUACGAAAGGGCCAAAGAAUAAUUUUAUUA
rnacentral:rRNA from 1 species